GCUUAGGCUCCGGUAUCGGCAUCGGUUCGGGCUUUGGUUCUGGCUAGGGCUCAGGCUUAGGCUCAGGUUUUGGUUUUGGCAUGGGCUCAGGUUUUGGUUCAGGCUUAGGCUCCGGCUUAGGCUCAGGCUUAGGUUUUGGUUCUGGCUUGGGCUCCGGUUUUGGCAGUGGUUCAGGCUUGGGCUCAGGCUCGGGUUUUGGUUCAGGCUUAGGCUCAGGUUUUGGCUUUGGCUCAGGCUUUUUUGGCUUUGGCUUUGGUUCAGGCAUAGGCUUGGGCAUCGGUUCGGGUUUGGGCUUUGGCUCUGGCUUCGUUAUGGGUUUAGGUUGAGGCUCAGGUUUAGGUUCAGGUUUCGGCGAAGGCUCUGGAUGAGGCUCAGUUUUUGGCUCUGGACGUGGCUUGGGCUCUGGUUUAGGUUCAGGUUUGGGCUCUGGCUGUGGCAGGGGCUGCGGCUGAG
rnacentral:lncRNA from 1 species